AACGAACGCUGGCGGCAUGCCUAACACAUGCAAGUCGAACGAGACCUUCGGGUCUAGUGGCGCACGGGUGCGUAACGCGUGGGAACCUGCCCUUAGGUUCGGAAUAACUCCCCGAAAGGGGUGCUAAUACCGGAUAAUGUCUUCGGACCAAAGAUUUAUCGCCUUUGGAUGGGCCCGCGUUGGAUUAGCUAGUUGGUAGGGUAAAAGCCUACCAAGGCGACGAUCCAUAGCUGGUCUGAGAGGAUGAUCAGGCACACUGGGACUGAGACACGGCCCAGACUCCUACGGGAGGCAGCAGUGGGGAAUAUUGGACAAUGGGCGAAAGCCUGAUCCAGCAAUGCCGCGUGAGUGAUGAAGGCCUUAGGGUUGUAAAGCUCUUUUACCCGGGAUGAUAAUGACAGUACCGGGAGAAUAAGCUCCGGCUAACUCCGUG
rnacentral:rRNA from 1 species